rnacentral:rRNA from 1 species
AUUGAACGCUGGCGGCAGGCCUAACACAUGCAAGUCGAACGGAGUGGCGGACGGGCGAGUUAUGUCUGUGACACUGCCUGGUAGUGGGGGACAACGUCCGGAAACGGGUCCCACUUCCGCACUCCUUCAGCUUAGCCUAGGUCGGAUUAGCUAGUUGGUGGGGUAAAGGCCUACCAAGGCGACGAUCCGUAACUGGUCUGCGAGGAUGAUCAGUCACACUGGAACUGAGACACGGUCCAGACUCCUACGGGAGGCAGCAGUGGGGAAUAUUGGACAAUGGGCGAAAGCCUGAUCCAGCCAUGCCGCGUGUGUGAAGAAGGUCUUCGGAUUGUAAAGCACUUUAAGUUGGGAGGCGUUACCAACAGAAUAAGCACCGGCUAACUUCGUGCCAGCAGCCGCGGUAAUAC